rnacentral:rRNA from 1 species
UACGGAGGAUCCAAGCGUUAUCCGGAAUCAUUGGGUUUAAAGGGUCCGUAGGCGGUUUAGUAAGUCAGUGGUGAAAGCCCAUCGCUCAACGGUGGAACGGCCAUUGAUACUGCUGAGCUUGAGUGCGAGAGAGGUUAAUAGAAUACCUGGUGUAGUGGUGAAAUACGUAGAUAUCAGGUGGAACACCGGAGGCGAAGGCGGUUAACUGGCUCGACACUGACACUGAGACCCGAAAGUGCGGGGAUCAAACAGG